rnacentral:rRNA from 1 species
UACGGAGGGGCUAGCGUUGUCCGAAGUUACUGGGCGUAAAGCGCGCGUAGGCGGGUUGGUAAGUCCGCUGUGAAAGCCCGGAGCUCAACUCCGGAGGGUCGGUGGAUACUGCCAGUCUUGAAGGUGCUAGGGGGAGAUGGAAUUGACCGGUGUAGCGGUGAAAUGCGUAGAUAUCGGUAGGAACACCAGUGGCGAAGGCGGUCUCCUGGGGCAUUCUCGACGCUGGAGGCGCGAAAGCUGGGGGAGCAAACGGG